rnacentral:rRNA from 1 species
GGCCCGCAAGGGUCGCCAGAGGACGGGUCCGCGUCCCAUCAGCUAGUUGGUGAGGUAGUGGCUCACCAAGGCGAAGACGGGUAGCUGGUCUGAGAGGAUGAUCAGCCACACUGGAACUGAGACACGGUCCAGACUCCUACGGGAGGCAGCAGGUGGGGAAUAUUGCGCAAGUGGGCGAAAGCCUGACGCAGCCACGCCGCGUGAGCGAUGAAGGUCUUCGGAUCGUAAAGCUCUGGUGGGGGAGAAGAAGAAAGUCGGUGAAGAGCCGGCCCUGACGGUAUCCCCUUAGCAAGCACCGGCUAACUCCGUGCCAGCAGCCGCGGUAAUACGGAGGGUGCAAACGUUGCUCGGAAUCAUUGGGCGUAAAGCGCGCGUAGGCGGCUGAACAAGUUGGAUGUGAAAGCCCUGGGCUCAACCUAGGAUGUGCAUUCAAAACUGUUCGGCUUGAGUCUCGGAGGGGGUCAGAGAAUUCUCGGUGUAGAGGUGAAAUUCGUAGAUAUCGGG